UACUUUCUUUGAGAAGAAAGUAACACAAACAUGCACAAAAGUGCUUCAGGUUCCCACUUGGGUCCAGGAGGCUUAGACCUAUCCCAAGCCUUCUUCA